rnacentral:rRNA from 1 species
AGUGAACGCUGGCGGCAGGCCUAACACAUGCAAGUCGAACGGCAGCACAGUAAGAGCUUGCUCUUACGGGUGGCGAGUGGCGGACGGGUGAGGAAUACAUCGGAAUCUACUUUUUCGUGGGGGAUAACGUAGGGAAACUUACGCUAAUACCGCAUACGACCUACGGGUGAAAGCAGGGGAUCUUCGGACCUUGCGCGAUUGAAUGAGCCGAUGUCGGAUUAGCUAGUUGGCGGGGUAAAGGCCCACCAAGGCGACGAUCCGUAGCUGGUCUGAGAGGAUGAUCAGCCACACUGGAACUGAGACACGGUCCAGACUCCUACGGGAGGCAGCAGUGGGGAAUAUUGGGCAAUGGGCGCAAGCCUGAUCCAGCCAUACCGCGUGAGUGAAGAAGGCCUUCGGGUUGUAAAGCCCUUUUGUUGGGAAAGAAAAGCAGCAGGUUAAUACCCCGCUGUUCUGACGGUACCCAAAGAAUAAGCACCGGCUAACUUCGUG